CGAGGGGAGCAAGCGUUGUUCGGAUUUACUGGGCGUAAAGGGCGCGUAGGCGGUCGUGACAAGUCACUUGUGAAAUCUCCGGGCUUAACUCGGAACGGUCAAGUGAUACUGUCGGACUAGAGUACAGAAGGGGCAACUGGAAUUCUCGGUGUAGCGGUGAAAUGCGUAGAUAUCGAGAGGAACACCUGCGGCGAAGGCGGGUUGCUGGGCUGAUACUGACGCUGAUGCGCGAAAGCCAGGGGAGCGAACGGGAUUAGAUACCCCGGUAGUCCUGGCCUUAAACGAUGAAUGCUUGGUGUCUCGGGUCACAUAGUCCCGGGGUGCCGUCGCUAACGCUUUUAGCAUUCCGCCUGGGGAGUACGGUCGCAAGACUG
rnacentral:rRNA from 1 species